rnacentral:lncRNA from 1 species
UUUUCAUGGCUGUUGCAACCCCUUCCAAGGCUUCUUCACUUGCAAAUUCACCAUAUUCUUCUUAUUCCUCGGCUUUCUCCUCCAAUUCCUCUUCCGCCAAGUCACCAACACCAUCCUUAUGACCAUCCAAAUCUGGUAGGGGAGCACGCAAGUCAUUUCCUAUUGGAGCUCCAAAGAGUUCUUUUAAGCUCCUCUUCUCCUAGCCUCAAGGCUAAAAAAGGAUCCUCUUUUGACGCUGAGUCUCCCAACUGCCGAUGAUGAAGUUUCUGACUCCCCUUCUCCUAGCCCUAAAAGGAAUGAUGAUGUCGUUGAUAGUGGAAGCCCAAAAUCCACUAAUGACAGUCUUGCACCAGAACCUUUUAAUUUCGUAGCAAUCAAAGCCAUCACUGGCAUUGUCGGUGUUGUAGUUGUUACCGAAUUCUUCCUCUUCUAAGCUUCAC